GAUGAACGCUGGCGGCGUGCUUAACACAUGCAAGUCGAACGGAAAGGCCCAAGCUUGCUUGGGUACUCGAGUGGCGAACGGGUGAGUAACACGUGGGUGAUCUGCCCUGCACUUCGGGAUAAGCCUGGGAAACUGGGUCUAAUACCGGAUAGGACCACGUCUUGGAUGCUGUGGUGGAAAGUUUUUCGGUGUGGGAUGAGCUCGCGGCCUAUCAGCUUGUUGGUGGGGUAAUGGCCUACCAAGGCGUCGACGGGUAGCCGGCCUGAGAGGGUGUACGGCCGCAUUGGGACUGAGAUACGGCGCAGACGCCUACGGGAGGCAGCAGUGGGGAAGAUUGCACAAUGGGCGCAAGCCUGAUGCAGCGACGCCGCGUGGGGGAUGACGGCCUUCGGGUUGUAGAAUCCUUUCGCUAGGGAGGAAGCUUAUUUUGUGACGGUACCUGGAGAAGAAGCACCGGCUAACUACGUG
rnacentral:rRNA from 1 species